AUAGUCAUGGGGUUAGGAUGCAGGAAUCUUGUCCCACAUCUAUGAACUGCUUCCAGGUCUGCUGACUUAGCCCAGACUUGGGGAAAGACUGACCACCUCAAGUUGCCAAAUGCCUUCACAAUGGCUUUAAGAAGAGGUAUGUUGAGUUGUGGAGCUAGCUGCCUUUGAUGCUGGAAAUACACCGAAAAACUGGACAAUGAGCUCCAACUUCCUCCUGCUCCCCAUGGCGGGACCUCAUGAAGAAUGAAAAGACUCCUGACUCCAGUGGGUCAUCAAAUUGAAGGCCAAUGAACUCUGGCACUGGCCAACUUUCUACUGAAGCGUGGCAUCACCGGCUGAGUGGAGGAAGGCGUACCCUAGAGAAAUUCUCCUACAGGCCAAAACUGUCUUCCACCACGCCUGCUGCUCUGACAAAAUUGGUGGGGAAGGGCAUCCCUGUUACCUUCAUCUAGCAAUUGGGGGACCACUCUCCCCCUAAUCUGCCCACCCUCUGGCCUGUUCCACUCUACUGCACUCCCUCCCAUUUUCUUUAAACUCUCCGCUCCGUAGUAGUUUUUAAAAUUGUUUCCUCGUUUCCCAGCCCCAUGAGCCCCCUCUCUGCCACCCACGAUCCUAGUGCUAAUGUCAUAGAGACAAAAGGCAUAAAGUCAAAACCAAGGCAAAAAUAUCAAACCACUCUUAGUGCUGCUCACCAUAACACUACAGGACAGCUCAGAAUCAUUUUGGCCAGGGCCCUCUCUCACUGAUUAUUCAUUCAUUCAAUCGUAUUUAUUGAGGACUUACUGUGUGCAGAGCUUACUGUACCCAGAUUAUCACCAUCUGGGUACCUAGCAAGCUUUUAAGUGGGUCAUGGUAACUCACUGAACAGAAGAGGAAGAAUAUAUAUUAGGGAAGAUGAUUUCAACUAAAGUUUCCUUUGUUACAUGCUAACAUAUUUCAGGUUGUUUAGUCAAAUGAAAUCUAAACAAAACAGGUACUUAUAAACUAAUCUUUCAACAUAUUUCGUAGCCUCCGCUGUCCACUUCCUGCAUUCUCUUUGUUGACUGGAAACUACAGCUUAGAAGACUCCUUGGCUGGAGUCAGAGCUGAACUGGGAGUUCUCGCUAAGAAUUUCAAUUCUUCAGGUGAAUUGUAAUAAGCUAGAAAGUACUGCCCUUCCCACCUGCUAAUACGUUCCUUGGUUAUUCAUGUAUCCAUUUGUUUCAUACAGCUUUAGGCUUAUGUUUGAUCUAAGAUCUGACUGGCUCAGCACUUCAGUGUCUUCCUUCCAGUUUUGCGUGCCCAAAGUGUCGACCCUCUCCUAAAAGCUGACAGAAGACUUUUCCCAGGCCUCUAAACCAUUUGAGUUCCAUAAAUCAUCUUCCUCCAAGUAUCUUGGGAUGCUCCCUGUGAAAGGUCUUCUAAAUAAAUACGUAUUGA